UACGUAGGGUGCGAGCGUUGUCCGGAAUUAUUGGGCGUAAAGGGCUCGUAGGCGGUUUGUCGCGUCGGGAGUGAAAAACGCCGUGCUUAACACGGCGCUUGCUUUCGAUACGGGCAGACUAGAGGUAUGCAGGGGAGAACGGAAUUCCUGGUGUAGCGGUGAAAUGCGCAGAUAUCAGGAGGAACACCGGUGGCGAAGGCGGUUCUCUGGGCAUUACCUGACGCUGAGGAGCGAAAGUGUGGGGAGCGAACAGG
rnacentral:rRNA from 1 species